GGUAGUCCACGCCCUAAACGAUGUCAACUGGUUGUCGGGCCUUUAUUGGUUUGGUAACGAAGCUAACGCGUGAAGUUGACCGCCUGGGGAGUACGGUCGCAAGAUUAAAACUCAAAGGAAUUGACGGGGACCCGCACAAGCGGUGGAUGAUGUGGAUUAAUUCGAUGCAACGCGAAAAACCUUACCUACCCUUGACAUGUACGGAACCAUAGUGAGAGCUUAGGGUGCCUGAAAGGGAGCCGUAACACAGGUGCUGCAUGGCUGUCGUCAGCUCGUGUCGUGAGAUGUUGGGUUAAGUCCCGC
rnacentral:rRNA from 1 species